AGGGUUUGAUCAUGGCUCAGGACGAACGCUGGCGGUGCGCCUUAUGCAUGCAAGUCGAGCGAAGCUUUUCAGUAGUUUACUACAGAAAAUGACUGAGCGGCGAACGGGUGAGUAACGCGUGAGCAAUCUACCUUAGUUACAGGGAUAGCCCGAGGAAACUCGGAUUAAUACCUGAUAUUCUUUAUUUCUCGCAUGAGAAUAAAAGGAAAGGUCAGCCGAACUAAGAUGAGCUCGCGUUCUAUCAGCUUGUUGGUGAGGUAAAAGCUUACCAAGGCUACGACGGAUAGCUGGUCUGAGAGGACGAUCAGCCACACUGGGACUGAGACACGGCCCAGACUCCUACGGGAGGCUGCAGCAGGGAAUAUUGUGCAAUGAACGAAAGUUUGACACAGCGACACCGCGUGUGGGAUGACGGAUCUAGGUUUGUAAACCACUUUCAGGAGGGAAGAAAAUGACGGUACCUCCACAAGAAGCCCCGGCCAACUACGUGCCAGCCGCCGCGGUAAUUC
rnacentral:rRNA from 1 species